rnacentral:rRNA from 1 species
GGUUAAGCUACUAAGGGCGCACGGUGGAUGCCUUGGCACUAGAAGCCUAAGAAGGACGGGACGAACACCGAUAUGCUUCGGGGAGCUGUAAGUACGCUUUGAUCCGGAGAUUUCCGAAUGGGGGAACCCACCAUCUUUAAUAGGAUGGUAUCCAUUUCUGAAUACAUAGGGAAUGGAAGGCAGACCCGGGGAACUGAAACAUCUCAUUACCCGGAGGAAGAGAAAGCAAACGCGAUUUCCUGAGUAGCGGCGAGCGAAACGGAAUCAGCCCAAACCAGAGGGCUUGCCCUCUGGGGUUGUAGGACGUCUCUUUGGAGUUACAAAGGCACGGAUAGACGAAGCGACCUGGAAAGGUCCAUCAGAGAAGGUAACAAUCCUGUAGUCAAAAUCCGAUGCCCUCCGAGACGGAUCCUGAGUACGGCGGGACACGUGAAACCCCGUCGGAAUCCGGGAGGACCAUCUCCCAAGGCUAAAUACUCUCUAGUGACCGAUAGUGAACCAGUACCGUGAGGGAAAGGUGAAAAGCACCCCGGAAGGGGAGUGAAAAAGAACCUGAAACCGUGUGCCUACAACUAGUUGGAGCCCGUUAAUGGGUGACAGCGUGCCUUUUGUAGAAUGAACCGGCGAGUUACGAUCCCGUGCAAGGUUAAGCUGAGAAGGCGGAGCCGCAGCGAAAGCGAGUCUGAAUAGGGCGAAAUAGUACGUGGUCGUAGACCCGAAACCAGGUGAUCUACCCAUGUCCAGGUGAAGUUCAGUAACACUGAAUGGAGGCCCGAACCCACGCAUGUUGAAAAUGCGGGAUGAG